AGAGUUUGAUCCUGGCUCAGAUUGAACGCUGGCGGCAUGCCUUACACAUGCAAGUCGAACGGCAGCACGGGUGCUUGCACCUGGUGGCGAGUGGCGAACGGGUGAGUAAUACAUCGGAACAUGUCCUGUAGUGGGGGAUAGCCCGGCGAAAGCCGGAUUAAUACCGCAUACGAUCUACGGAUGAAAGCGGGGGACCUUCGGGCCUCGCGCUAUAGGGUUGGCCGAUGGCUGAUUAGCUAGUUGGUGGGGUAAAGGCCUACCAAGGCGACGAUCAGUAGCUGGUCUGAGAGGACGACCAGCCACACUGGGACUGAGACACGGCCCAGACUCCUACGGGAGGCAGCAGUGGGGAAUUUUGGACAAUGGGCGAAAGCCUGAUCCAGCAAUGCCGCGUGUGUGAAGAAGGCCUUCGGGUUGUAAAGCACUUUUGUCCGGAAAGAAAUCCUUGGCUCUAAUACAGUCGGGGGAUGACGGUACCGGAAGAAUAAGCACCGGCUAACUACGUG
rnacentral:rRNA from 1 species